AUACGGAGGAUCCGAGCGUUAUCCGGAUUUAUUGGGUUUAAAGGGUGCGCAGGCGGCCAUUUAAGUCAGCGGUUAAAUCGUGGGGCUCAACCCCAUUCUGCCGUUGAUACUGGGUGGCUUGAUUGCGGUCGAGGUUGGCGGAAUUCGUUGUGUAGCGGUGAAAUGCAUAGAUAUGACGAAGAACACCGAUUGCGUAGGCAGCUGACCAGACCGCAAAUGACGCUCAUGCACGAAAGUGCGGGGAUCGAACAGGAUUAGAUACCCUGGUAGUCCGCACAGUAAACGAUGAAUACUUGUUUUCGGCGAUAUAAUGUCAGAGGCAAAGCGAAAGCGAUAAGUAUUCCACCUGGGGAGUACGCCGGCAACGGUGAAACUCAAAGGAAUUGACGGGG
rnacentral:rRNA from 1 species